ACUCCUACGGGAGGCAGCAGUAGGGAAUCUUCCACAAUGGGCGCAAGCCUGAUGGAGCAACACCGCGUGAGUGAAGAAGGGUUUCGGCUCGUAAAGCUCUGUUGUUAGAGAAGAACACGUAUGAGAGUAACUGUUCAUACGUUGACGGUAUUUAACCAGAAAGUCACGGCUAACUACGUGCCAGCAGCCGCGGUAAUACGUAGGUGGCAAGCGUUAUCCGGAUUUAUUGGGCGUAAAGAGAGUGCAGGCGGUUUUCUAAGUCUGAUGUGAAAGCCUUCGGCUUAACCGGAGAAGUGCAUCGGAAACUGGAUAACUUGAGUGCAGAAGAGGGUAGUGGAACUCCAUGUGUAGCGGUGGAAUGCGUAGAUAUAUGGAAGAACACCAGUGGCGAAGGCGGCUACCUGGUCUGCAACUGACGCUGAGACUCGAAAGCAUGGGUAGCGAACAGGAUUAGAUACCCCGUGGUAGGAUAGCG
rnacentral:rRNA from 1 species